rnacentral:rRNA from 1 species
UACGAAGGGGGCUAGCGUUGCUCGGAAUCACUGGGCGUAAAGGGUGCGUAGGCGGGUCUUUAAGUCAGGGGUGAAAUCCUGGAGCUCAACUCCAGAACUGCCUUUGAUACUGAGGAUCUUGAGUCCGGGAGAGGUGAGUGGAACUGCGAGUGUAGAGGUGAAAUUCGUAGAUAUUCGCAAGAACACCAGUGGCGAAGGCGGACUCG